AAAACAUCGCCUCCUGCAACGCAGCCAAGUAUAGGAGGUCCAGCCUGCCCAGUGACUACAAGUUCAACGGCCGCGGUAUUUUGACCGUGCAAAGGUAGCGCAAUCACUUGUCUUUUAAAUAGAGACCUGUAUGAAUGGCUAAACGAGGGCUUAACUGUCUCCCCUUUCAAGUCAGUGAAAUUGAUCUACCCGUGCAGAGGCGGGUAUAAUUAUACAAGACGAGAAGACCCUUUGGAGCUUAAGGUACAAAACUCAACCACGUUAAGCAACUUAAUAAAAAGCAAAAACUUUAUGGAAUAUGAUAUUUUACCUUCGGUUGGGGCGACCACGGAAGAGAAAAAAUCCUCCGAGUGGACCGGGACAAACCUCCUAAAACCAAGAGACACACCUCUAAGCCACAGAACAUCUGACCAAACAUGAUCCGGCCAUAAAAGCCGAUCAACGAACCAAGUUACCCUAGGGAUAACAGCGCAAUCCUCUCCCAGAGUCCAUAUCGACGAGGGGGUUUACGACCUCGAUGUUGGAUCAGGACAUCCUAAUGGUGCAGCCGCUAUUAAGGGUUCGUUUGUUCAACGAUUAAAGUCCUACGUGAUCUGUUC
rnacentral:rRNA from 1 species